CUCAGCCACAGCCCCGCGACGUGUUUACAUCGCUCGAGAGCGCGCUGGGAGAGCCCUCGAUAUCAAUUUAUUCCUAAUAAAACAUGAGAGCCCUCCUUGAGAAUGAGAAACUACAGAAAAUGAGGAUGGAGAAAAACAGGCAACAUGAGGUAAAAAAAGGAAUGUGGGUUGAGACAUGUAAAAACAGGGAGCCAAAGGGAGCUCUAAGCAGAGUAUGGUUUGGGUCUUGCCCACAUACUCCCAUCCCAGAAAAGGGAGCUGAUGAAUGCUGGCCAGAGAUGCUCUGCCUGAGGAGGUCAAAGAAAAUACCACACGUCAGGACAUCCUGAAAAGCUGCUUCUACCUGCUUGCAGCUUGGUCAGAACAGUAGAGUCUCUGAUGAAGAGAUCCUGCAUCAUGUGGAGCCUUAGAGGGGAAAUGUAUAAAUGUAAAAGUGAACUAAGAGCAUCUUAAAAGGAUGUUUUGGAGAAGCUGAAGUAGAGGUUGUCAUUAAUCCCGCUUGGGCCAUGGCAUACAUGUGUUCCACCUUAUCCCAGAGGGAACUAACUCUCAGAAUCCCUGGCAGAGCAUUAUGGAUGUGCUCAUGUCUUUAAUGUAUUUUUCCUGGCUGGGCUCUGGAUUUAGCCCAAAGUACAAGCUGAUCCACCUGCCAUUGUGCUUCUCCUGAUCGUAGGAGAUCCCAUCCUCUGCUGUCUAGGCAGGGCAAAUGGUGAAAAAGUGAAGUAUGAGGGCAUAAUGGAAUUUUCCAAGAUGAGGUGUGAAGAUGAACAGGAUGCCAUGAAGCCUACUGAAAUAUUGCAUGGGGAAGACAUGUAUUUCACGUGACAACAAUCUUCUACUGGUGUUACUUUUGCCUCAGUCUUAUAGUUGAGUUCAGCUCUUGCUACAGAGGUGGCAGAGAGGAUACUGACUACCUUCAUGCCAGACGCCCAAAGCUGCAUUCCGUGGUUUUGUUCUGCCACAGGUGCCAGGUGUACUUGGCACAUUGUAUAGUUUCAGCCAGUUCUUGUGGGGGUUUUGGGAUUCUUGUUUUGGUCUGGUUUUUUUAUGGAUAGUGUCUCUUUAGAGGCUUGCUACUUUCAGGAGCUAAAAGGGUAUUAUGAAAUUCUUCAUUUCAGAAGAGUUGGGAUUUUGUGGUGGUGGUGGGUUUUGUGUUUUCUGUUUUUAAGCAGAUACUUGGAGCUAUGCCAUUUAUUAAAGAAAAAUGUUUGCUAAGUAAUUGACUGGAGAAAUAUAGAAUAUAAUUUGGCCAAAUAACUGUUGUGCUUUUCAACUAUAAGACAGUGUUGUAUGAUGAUUUGGUUGAAUUUUCAAACCAGUUAUAGGCCCCAUUACUCAUUGCUGUUUCUUAAGAGUGGUUUUCUCAGGACCUCUUUUAGAAGCAAUUUUAUAGUGUCUAUUGGGCAAGAGUUUUCAGAGUAGAACCUGAUUUUUGCUGGUAUGAUAUUUUUGAAAAAACUCAAAACAUGGUUGUACUGUCUCCAGCUUGAGUUUUGAGGCUAUAAUUACGAAACGUUCUUCAACUUGCUGCUUAUGGAGUACUUACGUGACCAAUUUUCUUUGCAGUAAAGCUGACUUGAAAAAUGCCUGCCCUUACCACCCCUGCUGCUCUGCUCAUAGCUACAAUUCACUGCCCUUCCUGUGCUGAUACAGCUGUUCAAGGACUGCUCUGAUGUCUCACCACAAUGGUUAAGACCCUUGCUCCCACCGGGCUCUGCUGUUUUAACCCUUUAUUUCAUGGACCUAUCUUAAAACAGUGCCCCACCUUUUGUUGGGCUGAUACAAAGGAGGGCUGCAAAACAAGGGUGAAAUGGUAUUGCAAGUGGCUUUUGCACUGAAGAAACACACAUUUCACUGAAGGGAAGAAGAAAAUGCUACUGUUGCAUGGUGUUGAUCUCACCUUUUGGAUACGUUAACAUGAGAUGGUUUUUAGUUUGAGGGGCUCUUUGGAGCCUUAUCUUCAUCCAGAGAUGCUACUGACUGACUUUGUAAUGAUAUGCAUCACUAUGCCAUUCUCAAGUACUAUCAGCAAGAGUUGUCCCAUUUUUUGCUUACAACUGAGACUAAAAUAGUGUUUGUAUCAUUGUAGUUCUGUUAAAUGUGAUUAUCCUCAUGGUUGUCAGACCACAAUUUAUUUUGACAAAGUUAUCAAAAAGAUCACCAGCCUUCCUCUUCAUAUCUUUAAUUGCUCCAGAAUGUUCUCAAGUAUUUCUUAGGACAAAUAAAACUGGAAGAUGACUAAUACAUACAUACUCCUUUUAGAUACAGCGUGUGAGUAGGGAGUAACAGGAGGGAGAAGAGACAUGCAGAGCUGUGCAUCAGCACAAUGAGAGAUGCAAAAGAAUCCAAUACCAGAGUUAGCUUAAAUGGUAUGAUAAAGCUAGAGAUGUAAGCAUUGCAAAUUUAGUAUGAUCUUUCGCAAGAAAAGUUCAGGCAUCUCUUGCAUUUAUCUUUUCUGCAGUUGAACUGAAUUUUCCGCUUAAUGAUAAAGAUUUUCUGCAGGAUGUAUUUUUCAUUUAAAAUAAAAAUAAAGUUCAUAGCCUUACUGUCCCUUCUUUCAAAAAUAACUUGUGAUAGUUCUGCCUUUCUUUGUGUGAAAAUAAUUCCAAACAGAAAAUAGUAGUUGGCUGGUUUUCCACAGUUCUAUUCACAACACUAUAAUUUUCUCCACCAACUAAAUUGACUCAUUCAUUUCCACUAAUACAUACAAACUUACUUGUUCUGCUGGCAGUCCUGCUGUUAAGAGAACUAGCCCAAGACACAGUGGCUGAGAAAACAGAGCAGUAGGUGUUCAGUAUGGAAAGCAUGAAAGUGCAAUCCUUUCGCAUGGAGCCCCUUUGGACUUGGACACAAAUUUUUCACCAGGAGAGCUACCAGCCACUGGAAUAAUCUCCCCAGGGAGGUGGUGGACUCCCCAACAGUAGGACACUUAAAGUUCAGCUGGACAGGGUGCUGGGCCAUCUUGUCUAAGGUGUGCUUUUGUCAAGAAAGGUUGGACCAGGUGAGCUUGAGGUCACUUCCAACCUGGUAUUGUAUGAUUCUCUGACGUGUUACAGAGAAGCUGAGUAGCAGAGCAAGUCUCUUGAGCUUGAGAUUGUUUGUUUGAUACUUGUGCAGCACUAGAGAGGGGUUUAGAGAAAGUGACUGCGAGCUGGGAAGGAGACAAUAGAUAGGUAGAGUUUUAAGAAUUAAAACCAGGGUGAGAUUUUUGAUUCUUCUCAUGGUGUGAACACAGUCAGAUAGUCUUAAGAAGGCAAGAGUUAUAUGAAAAACAGUUUUGAUUUUUUGUUGAAUGUAUGUUUAAUAAUGAAAAGGAGACAUUUAGUGAAUUUGGGGAAAAUGUAUGCUUCAGUUGCAAAAGAUGGAAUAUAUUCAGUGUAUGGGUGUAAGCCACAAUAUUGGCAAUUUUCUGAGUCAAAAUAAUAGUAAAUACUGAAGAAGGAAGAUGCAAGGAAAUUAAGAAAUAGUAUUAUUAGUCCCUAUUAAGUAUUUCCUAAUAAUACAGGUAUCAACAAUAGCAUUGUAGCAUGGAGGGUAUUUCUUUCCCCUUCCAAAAUAUGGAAGUACACUAGUGUUAUGUGUUUAAAAAAAAAAAUAAAGAAAGAAUUGUUGACAUGUC